rnacentral:rRNA from 1 species
GCGUGAGUGAAGAAGGCCCUAGGGUUGUAAAGCUCUUUCAGCGGGGAAGAUGAUGACGGUACCCGCAGAAGAAGCCCCGGCUAACUCCGUGCCAGCAGCCGCGGUAAUACGGAGGGGGCUAGCGUUGCUCGGAAUUACUGGGCGUAAAGGGCGCGUAGGCGGAUUUCUCAGUCAGGCGUGAAAGCCCCGGGCUCAACCCGGGAACUGCGUUUGAUACUAGAAGUCUAGAGAUCUGGAGAGGGUGGUGGAAUUCCCAGUGUAGAGGUGAAAUUCGU